rnacentral:rRNA from 1 species
AGAGCGAACGCUGGCGGCAUGCUUAACACAUGCAAGUCGCACGGGCAGGGGCAACCCUGCCAGUGGCGGACGGGUGAGUAACGCGUAGGUAUCUAUCCUUGGGUGGGGGACAACUGUGGGAAACUACAGCUAAUACCGCAUGAUAAUUGAGGUUUAAAGGCGCAAGUCGCCUGGGGAGGAGCCUGCGUACGAUUAGCUUGUUGGUGGGGUAAAGGCCUACCAAGGCGACGAUCGUUAGCUGGUCUGAGAGGAUGAUCAGCCACAUUGGGACUGAGACACGGCCCAAACUCCUACGGGAGGCAGCAGUGGGGAAUAUUGGACAAUGGGCGCAAGCCUGAUCCAGCAAUGCCGCGUGUGUGAAGAAGGUCUUCGGAUUGUAAAGCACUUUCGACGGGGACGAUGAUGACGGUACCCGUAGAAGAAGCCCCGGCUAACUUCGCGCCAGCAGCCGC